GAAGGAUAUGGCACAAAGGCGCGCGCACUCAAAACUGGAUCGUCUCGUGAGCUACAGUGAGCUACAAAUGGCGCCAGGUUCUUCAGCUUUGAAUGCCUUCCUACAAAUGAUAACUGGAUAAAAGCAUGGGAGACUUGAUUGAAUUCUUGAAACAAAGAGAAGUCUCUGAGGAAAUUAUACAGACCUUGGAGAAUGAGAAGAUUGAUGCCAGUGUCAUAAGUCUAAUGACAGAUGAGGAGCUGAAGACUUAUUUGCCAUCAUAUGGUGAUCGUCUAGCAGUAUUUGGAUUUUGCAGACGGAGGGGCAGCAGCCGCAAGUCAGCGCUUUUUGAACGGCUGAAAUCCAAACUGUCCAAAAGAAAAUUAUCUGAAGAGGAUGGCAGUAGUACACGGCAAGAAGAACAUUCCCAAACAACCCAUAAAAGAAAUGCUCUGAAGAGAAAUAGAAAAAUAGAAAUAGGAUGGAUGCAUUAUGAUGAAGACACUGAGGUUUUCAAGCAGGUUAGAGCUAGACGAGGAGGAGGAACAAGAAAAAUAGACAUUUGCAAGGAUGCCAAGAAAAGGGACAUAUUACAGGUUGCAACAGGCUUGUUCUUUCCAGAUGGAGGAAACAUUCAGGGGCCCUUAACAGAUUUCGACUGUGAUCUAAAGGAUUAUCAAGAGAUGAUAGUCGAUGAUGCAUUGACAGUAGGAGAACUUUAUCAUGUCACAAAACUAAAUAUCCUCAGGUUCUACCUCACCACAAAGAAAAACAAAAUGACAGCCUUCAGAGUUCCAGCCCAGGUUUGCAUCCAUCUUCAGAAAUUGAAGAGAGUCCUCAAAACCAAACCUCUUCUUUUACUGUCACUACAGUCCAAACAUCUGCUCCAUUUGAAACAAUCAGCCAUGAUGUGCCAUACAUUGAAGACACUCCAAACGAUAACCUUCCACAAUCUUCCACGCAGUCUCUAAGUGCUAACACUUCUCACAGCAGUGACAUUAUUUUUGUUGGCCCCUUUUCUGACAGUGAGCCAAUAAAUUUGGAUGACCCUGAUUUUUCUCCACACCCUGGUCCAUCCAGUGAGAGAGUGAGGAGAGUAGUGGUGGUCCACAGAGGGCAGGUAAUGUCAGAGCUCAUUUCACAUUUUAGUGAUAAGGACCUUGAAGAUGUCGACAUCAAAAUCCAGUUCGUACUGCCUGAUGGAACACCUGAAAUGGCCCAUGACGAUGGGGGAGUUGUGAGAGAUUGUCUUUCAGAAUUCUGGAAAGAAUUCUAUGACCAGUGCACCACUGGAAAUGUUUGCAAGGUGCCCUUCUUAAGGCAUGAUUUUGGGCAACAGGAGUGGGAGAGUGUGGGCAGAAUCAUUGCAUUUGGAUGGGUUAGAGAGAAAUAUCUGCCUGUGAAAAUUGCACCUGCCAUUCUAGAACAAGCUGCCUUUGGAUAUGUAAAGAGUGAUAUUGUGGAGGAUUUCCUUAAGUUCAUGCCUGAAUCUGAGCGUACAGUGUUAGAGGCGUGGCGAUCAGACUUUAGCAUCGUGGACCAAGAAGAACUUAUAGACAUACUUGAUAACCACAGCUGCAGAAAGAUACCAACAGCCUACAAUGCCACUGAAGUCCUAUUGGAGCUUGCACACAAAACACUUGUCCAAGAGCCUGCCUAUGUUAUUGAACAGUGGGCAAGAACACUCAGCACUGCAUGGGAAAGCAUUUGUGAUCUAUCGUCACUUUUUGAAACCCUCCAACCAAAUGUUUUGCACAGGUUCAGAUUUACAUCUUGGAAAGAACAUCAUCAUUGGGUUUAACGAACUUAAAGGUUUCCAGAGACGACCUGUGGCACACACAUGUGGAUGUGUACUGGAGCUGUCGAUAAAUUAAGCACAAAGGUAAAUCAGUCCAUGCAGCUUUUAAUUGUUGUAGAUGGUGAUUCUUACACCUGCAGUAGUCCACAGCAAAGUAUACACAUACUUUGACAAUUGGCUGCUCACCUCAUCAUUCUUCUUGUCUUCGAUGUGCUCAAAGAAGUUCACAGCAUAACUACAGUCAGUAAAGGAUCAUUUGAAGCUGGACAAUCCAUCUCCAUCCCAUCUCUCCAUGACUCCCAAUACAUAAACCAUGUGAAGUACUUGUGUGAAGGAUAUUAUUGGAGAUACCCCCAGUCUCUAUGUGGAUCAUCAGAGAACUACAGGAUAUAUUGGAGGAAACAUAACCAUCAGAUGUCACCACAGUAACUCUGGAGAAAUGAAGUGGUGCAGGCUGGGCAAGAACUGUGUGACAGGAUCAUCAGGAUCUAUAGAUGGUGCAGCAGUGACCACUCACAUGAGAGACCCAAAUGUUUUCACAAUGACCGUGAGUGGACUAAGGUCAGAGGACAGUGGCUGGUAUUUGUGUGCUAAAGAGGACAUUGGGAGACUGACUACCUCUACCCACACUGUUGCUGGAAAUCUAACAUUUACCACAUUCGAAAAUAACCAACAUAGGUGAGAUAUCUUUGUAUUUAUAUUCACUAUGUGUGCAGUAUUAUGGUAUAUAAGUGGUAGAACUUUUCUUGUAAGGGAGUCCGUGUACAUAUUUUUAGAGACACUAUUAUUACUUAUUAAACUAAACUGUGUGUUCUCAAAAUAGAUUUUGUACAGCUUCAUUUGACCCUAAGAGCCUCAUCUUUUGUCUGAGUUUGUUGAUCUUCAUUUUAAUUGCGGUGCCGUUCAACUGUUUUAUAUUAAUAUACAGUAAGUGUUGCUUAACUUUGAUUACAAUUAAAUUCAUGUUCACUUUAUUGUGAAUUGUUGCACAGCAUCAGUAAAAGCAGUUUCGUUUUACUAGAGAAGCAUAAAGCAGAAUCACCAGUGACAGCAAUGGUUGAAGAGGAAGUAACAUACUCAGAAGUUAGAUACCUGAAAGGCAAGAUGGAUGGGGAAGUAACAGACUCCACUGUGAGAAAUGUGGGAAGAAAAACACCAAAGGAUAAAUGCACAGAAGUUACAUACAGCAUCCAUCCAUCCAGUCACCACUGAAAUAUUUAAAAAUUACAACUUUCUGCCUUUUUAUUUUUCUUAUCCGUAGCUGUAUUACUGAAGUCUUUGUCAGAGAAGUGAUGCAAUGUGUUGAAUCUACUGCUCAGCUUGUCCUGUAACUCUUUUCUUUAAGAUCUUUAAGCUGUCACAGUUUAUUUUGUAAUUCUUGAAUGGAAUUCUGGCUGUAAAAGAUGAGUUAAGGCUCCAUCAUGUGGUGGGUUUGAUAUAUGGUUGGAUUUUUAAUGUGAGAGAAUAUCCAUCCAUCCAUCCAUCCAUCCAUCCAUCCAUCCAUCCAUCCAUCCAUCCAUCCAUCUUUUUUCUGCUUAUCAGCUACCAUUCAGAGGAAACCCAUUUCUGCCGCUUGUAUCUGCGAUCUCGUUCUUUCAGCCUUAGAUUUGGAUGUGCUGAUUCUCAUUCCGACCGCUUCACACUCGGCUGCUAACUGUUCCAAUGUGAGCCACAUCAUCACAUCAACCACCACCACAUCAACCACGUCAUCCAUGAAAAGCAGAGAUAAGAUUCUGAGACCACUGAAGUGAAAGCCUUCCACCACUUGGCUGCGCCUAGAAAUUCUGGCAAUAAAAAUUACAAACAGAAUCGGUGACAUAGCCCUGGCAGAGCCCAUCACCCACCAGGAACAAGUCUGACUUAUUGCGGACCGAACUCUUGCAACGGUUGUAUUAGGAUCAAAAGGCCCGUAGCAAUGGGUCAAACACCCCAUACUCCCGGAGCACCUCCCAUAGUACACUCCAAGGGACACGAUCAAAUGCCUUCUCCAAACCCACAAAACACAUGUAGACUGUUGGGCAAACUCCCAUGCACCCUCAAGUAUCCUUGAGAGGAUAAAGAGCUGGUCCAGUGUUCCUCAGCCAGGACGAAAACCACAUUGUUCCUCCUGUAUCCAAGUUUCGACUAACAGAUGGACUCUCCUUUCCAGCACCCAUGUCUGCCAGUCCUGGGGUACUGCCCCACCCCUGAUCUCCACGCAAGAUUGUAGAG
ensembl:lncRNA